UCAUGAUUCUUCAUAUUUUCACUAUUUACAGAAACAUAAUUUGGAAAUUAGAAUUUUCGUAAAAUUGGGUUUGGAUGAAAUUAACAAAAUGCUAAAAUAAUAAUUAUAUUCCUUAUCGUUUUUUUUAACAGAAAAUGAUAAAGAAACGCAAUUUAGUUGUGCAUCAUGGAGGCUAUUGGAGGAAGAUCCAAAAAUUGGAGUAUGUGGGUGGAAAAUUGCAAACUCAACUUUUUGAAGAAUUGAGUAUAGUAAAAUUUAUGCUUUUUGGGGAAGAUGUUGCAAGCAGUAUCAAGGAAGAUAAAACGAAGGGGCUGCACUAUUUAAUUGCAUAUCAAUUUUUGAUUUCAUUUGGAAACGUAAUAUGUGCUUAUUUGAGGAUAAUUGUCACUUUCUUUUUCUUUUUAAUGGAUAAUUGUCAUUUAAUUAUUGAA